rnacentral:rRNA from 1 species
AGAGUUUGAUCCUGGCUCAGGAUGCAUGCUAGCGACAGGCUUAACACAUGCAAGUCGAGGGGCAGCGGAGGCGAGUGCUUGCACUUGCCAGACGGCGACCGGCGCACGGGUGAGUAACACGUAUGCGACCUGCCCGUAGCAGGGGGAUAAGCGGAAGAAAUUCCGUCUAAUACCGCGUAAUAUCUUUCGGGGGCAUCCCUGAGGGAUUAAAGGAAGUGAUUCCGGCUACGGAUGGGCAUGCGGCGCAUUAGCUAGUCGGCGGGGUAACGGCCCACCGAGGCGACGAUGCGUAGGGGUUCUGAGAGGAAGGUCCCCCACACUGGUACUGAGACACGGACCAGACUCCUACGGGAGGCAGCAGUGAGGAAUAUUGGUCAAUGGGCGAGAGCCUGAACCAGCCAAGUCGCGUGAGGGAAGACGGUCCUAUGGAUUGUAAACCUCUUUUGUCGGGGAGCAAAAAGGCCUCGUGAGGCCACAAGUGAGAGUACCCGAAGAAAAAGCAUCGGCUAACUCCGUGCCAGCAGCCGCGGUAAUACGGAGGAUGCGAGCGUUAUCCGGAUUUAUUGGGUUUAAAGGGUGCGUAGGCGGACUGGAAAGUCAGCGGUAAAAUCGAGAGGCUCAACCUCUUUCCGCCGUUGAAACUGUCGGUCUUGAGUGGGCGAGAAGUAUGCGGAAUGCGUGGUGUAGCGGUGAAAUGCAUAGAUAUCACGCAGAACUCCGAUUGCGAAGGCAGCAUACCGGCGCCCGACUGACGCUGAGGCACGAAAGCGUGGGUAUCGAACAGGAUUAGAUACCCUGGUAGUCCACGCAGUAAACGAUGAAUACUAAUUGUCCGGUCAGAAUGAUGACUGGGUGAUACAGCGAAAGCGUUAAGUAUUCCACCUGGGGAGUACGCCGGCAACGGUGAAACUCAAAGGAAUUGACGGGGGCCCGCACAAGCGGAGGAACAUGUGGUUUAAUUCGAUGAUACGCGAGGAACCUUACCCGGGCUCAAACGUAGAAUGACAGACGGUGAAAGCCGUUCUCCCUUCGGGGCAGUCUACGAGGUGCUGCAUGGUUGUCGUCAGCUCGUGCCGUGAGGUGUCGGCUUAAGUGCCAUAACGAGCGCAACCCCCAUCUACAGUUGCUAACAGGUAAAGCUGAGGACUCUGUGGAGACUGCCGGCGCAAGCUGUGAGGAAGGCGGGGAUGACGUCAAAUCAGCACGGCCCUUACGUCCGGGGCGACACACGUGUUACAAUGGCAGGUACAGCGGGAAGCCAUAUGGCGACAUAGAGCGGAACCCGAAAACCUGUCUCAGUUCGGAUUGGAGUCUGCAACUCGACUCCAUGAAGCUGGAUUCGCUAGUAACCGCGCAUCAGCCACGGCGCGGUGAAUACGUUCCCGGGCCUUGCACACACCGCCCGUCAAG